AGAGUUUGAUCCUGGCUCAGGAUGAACGCUAGCGGCAGGCUUAACACAUGCAAGUCGAGGGGCAGCGCGGGGCGGCAACGUCCUGGCGGCGACCGGCGGAAGGGUGCGUAACGCGUGAGCGGCAUGCCCGUUGCCCGGGGACAACCGGUGGAAACGCCGACUAAUCCCCGAUGGGACGGAGGCCCUCAUGGGUCUCUGUUGAAAGUUACGGCGGCGACGGAUUGGCUCGCGUCCGAUUAGCUUGUUGGCGGGGUAACGGCCCACCAAGGCUACGAUCGGUAGGGGUUCUGAGAGGAAGGUCCCCCACAAUGGAACUGAGACACGGUCCAUACUCCUACGGGAGGCAGCAGUGAGGAAUAUUGGUCAAUGGGCGGAAGCCUGAACCAGCCAUGCCGCGUGCGGGAAGGAGGCCCUAUGGGCUGUGAACCGCUUUUGCCUGGGGGCAAUAAGGGCGUCGCGCACGUCCGAUGAGAGUACCAGGCGAAUAAGCAUCGGCUAACUCCGUGCCAGCAGCCGCGGUAAUACGGGGGAUGCGAGCGUUAUCCGGAUCCAUUGGGUUUAAAGGGUGCGUAGGCUGUGCGUCAAGUCAGGGGUGAAAUUCCGGGGCUCAACUCCGGGGCUGCCCUUGAUACUGUCGCGCUGGAGUGCGGAUGCCGCCGGAGGAAUGAGUGGUGUAGCGGUGAAAUGCUUAGAUAUCACUCAGAACACCGAUUGCGAAGGCAUCUGGCGAAUCCGUAACUGACGCUGAGGCACGAAAGCGUGGGGAUAGAACAGGAUUAGAUACCCUGGUAUUCCACGCCGUAAACGAUGAGGGCUAACCGCCG
rnacentral:rRNA from 1 species